GUUCUUGCUGCGUAAAAACGCAUUAUCCGCGCUGAGGCUCUCGUUCUUUUAAACCACUCACUCCGACCUCAGACCCGCAGGGUCCUGCCUGACUCCCUCUUUACCUCUCCACACGGCUCGGCGCCGCCAGCAGACUCUUUCCGCGUUCCCAAGCCAUCCCGCCCAGACCAGGGACCGCAGAAAUCGACGUAAAAUGCGCUACAGAAAAAUGCUACAAAAUUCUUUCCUGAUUAAUUCCGAGGCUGAACUCACCAGACAUGAUGGCUGAGAUGAAGAGAGGAUCCCUGGAGAAGACCUGUGGGACUCCACAAGGCUGUUCUGCCUCAGCAAAAUGGCCAAGAACGAAAUUUGUGCAAAAGUCUCCAAAAAGUCUCAACACAAAGUCUUCAUCCCAGCUCCUCUGCCUCCCGCAGCUCUCCUCCUCUUCCUCCCCUUCCUCCUGCUGCUGCUGCAGCGGCGCAGUGGCUCCACCUAGUGGCCGAAUAUAAGAACAUCUCCUCCAGCUGUUAGC
ensembl:lncRNA